GACGAACGCUGGCGGCGUGCUUAACACAUGCAAGUCGAACGGAAAGGCCCUGCUUGCAGGGUGCUCGAGUGGCGAACGGGUGAGUAACACGUGGGUGAUUUGCCCCCUACUUUGGGAUAAGCCUGGGAAACGGGGUCUAAUACUGGAUAGGACCAUGCUGUAGGUGGUGUGGUGGAGAGAUCAUUGUCGGUUGGGGUUGAGCUUGCGGCCUAUCAGCUUGUUGGUGGGGGAAUGGCCUACCAAGGCGUCGGCGGGUAGCCGGCCUGAGAGGGUGGACGGCACCAUUGGGACUGCGAUACGGCCCAGACUCCUACGGGAGGCAGCAGUGGGGAAUAUUGCACAAUGGGCGCAAGCCUGAUGCAGCGACGCCGCGUGGGUGAUGACGGCCUUCGGGUUGUAAACUCCUUUCGGCCAUGACGAAGCCCUUGUGGUGACGGUAGUGGUAGAAGAAGCACCGGCUAACUACGUG
rnacentral:rRNA from 1 species